ACAUCGACCAAAAUCAGAGAAUGUGCCAUUUGACCCAAAAGAGCAGCGAUGUCAGUGUCUGAAGAAAAUGCCAACAUUCGAGACCACCACCGCCGCUUGCUGGCGGCGAAAUACGAGCUAAGGCGGAACCUGUACAAGGCCCUCUGCAAGGACCCAACCCUUCCCAGCGAUCUGCGCGAGGAGAACCGCUUCAAGCUCUCCAAGCUGCCCCGGAACAGCUCCUUCACGCGCGUCAGGAACCGCUGCAUCUUCUCCGGCCGCGCACGCGCCGUCUACGAGACCUUCCGUAUGUCCCGUAUCGUUUUCCGUGCUCUCGCCUCCAAAGGCAUGCUAAAUGGCGUUAAGAAAGCGUCUUGGUAGCCUCCCAAAACGAUUGCUGAUAAGACUGCAGAAGUCAGUAAAGUUCAUCUGUUGCUAUGUUACUGAUCGGAAUACGACAGACUGGUCAUUCCCUUCUUCUUCUGGUUAUGGUAAAAAGUAAUACGUUUAUUGGUGUUGAAUAAAAAAGUUUUAGGCUUAACGAUUUGCGCUUACAUUGUUUUUGAGUCGAAGUAUGGAACAGAGCGUGUGUGCUUCUUCGUGCGCGUGAACAUUGUUCGUAGGAGAGGAAACUAACAGCUUUAAGAUCAGAAACAAGGGAAGAAGCUUUUGAGCUCUA